rnacentral:rRNA from 1 species
UACGAAGGGGGCUAGCGUUGCUCGGAAUUACUGGGCGUAAAGCGCACGUAGGCGGCUUUCUAAGUCGGGGGUGAAAUCCUGGAGCUCAACUCCAGAACUGCCUUCGAUACUGGAGAGCUUGAGUCCGGGAGAGGUGAGUGGAACUGCGAGUGUAGAGGUGAAAUUCGCAGAUAUUCGCAAGAACACCAGUGGCGAAGGCGGCUCACUGGCCCGGUACUGACGCUGAGGUGCGAAAGCGUGGGGAGCAAACAGG